CCUACGGGGAGCAGCAGUGAGGAAUAUUGGUCAAUGGGCGGGAGCCUGAACCAGCCAAGCCGCGUGAGGGAAGAAGGUACAGCGUAUCGUAUACCUCUUUUGUCAGGGAACAAAGGCGGGGACUAGUCCCCGGAUGAGGGUACCUGAAGAAAAAGCAUCGGCUAACUCCGUGCCAGCAGCCGCGGUAAUACGGAGGAUGCGAGCGUUAUCCGGAUUUAUUGGGUUUAAAGGGUGCGCAGGCGGCCUGUUAAGUCAGCGGGAAAAGCCCGGGGCUCAACCCCGGCGAGCCGUUGAAACUGGCGGGCUGGAGUUGGAGAGAAGUACGCGGAAUGCGCGGUGUAGCGGUGAAAUGCUUAGAUAUCGCGCAGAACCCCGAUUGCGAAGGCAGCGUACCGGCUCCACACUGACGCUGAGGCACGAAAGCGUGGGUAUCGAACAGGAUUAGAUACCCCAGUAGUC
rnacentral:rRNA from 1 species